AUUUAUUAGUUAUUUUAUAUUAGUUAUUUUAAAGAUUAGAUUUAGAAAAUAAUUUAGUGGAACAUUGAACAUCAUUUUUCUGUCUGCACGGAAAAUCUGUCAUCUCUUACUCAUCUCUUUGAUAUCUAUAUAAUGAUGAGAUAAUUCCAACAAGAUUAUAAUUAAGUAUUCCUGAAUUUUUUGAAGAUUCGAUUGUUGACGAGGAAAAUACUUUUAAAUAAUAUUUCUGAGUCGAAUAUUGAUGAUGCUUUUUUGUCACAGGCUACGACAUUUCGGCAUGUUAUCGAGAUCUUAAAUCGUCGUUUGACACAUGUGUGUGUGACACGAUGUCAUAAGAAAGUUGGUGUCUUCCAGGAACCGAAAAAAUUUAGAAUCUAUUCAAAGAAGUACUUACCACGAAGCACGUCGGCGGGUAUCAAUCUUCGGAAAGUUUUCGGUCGGUCUUGUUCUACGGCUUCCUGAGCGACGACGAUGGCAACAACGGCACAAAGGAAAA